rnacentral:tRNA from 1 species
AGUCUUAUAUUCAAUAAUGAUAUAAAAUUGCAAAUUUUAAGGGGUAUAUUAUAAAAUACUAAGGCUU